GUUUUCGAAUGUGAUGGAAUUCGUAAAGCCAGCGUUUCAAAGACGACUAUAUUUAUCCACAUAUGUACAUCAUCACGCUGCGAGCGGGCAAGCGUGGAAGCCUUGCGGGUUGUCUCUCUGAAAUCAUAAAAGCGAAAGAGAAGAAGUGCGGAAGCAAGCAGCGAACGCUGGUUCGAGGAGCACGCAUGCAUGGGGUGGUAUCCUAAUGGUAGAAGAAGAGGUCUGGUGACUCUCCUGUGCUUCGCCUCCAUGUUGUGGUUGCUGGCAUCACACUCCAUCUGCGAGGGGCAUCAUCUGGGGAUCUCUGGUUGCGCUGUUGGGUCUGCUGGCUUAAAGACUUGUUCUCCUUCGACGCCGGACCGUGGCAUGAAUCCUCCUCCGGUAAGCACCGCCGCCUACAGAGUCGUAAUACAGCCACCUGCACCUUAACCUCGGCCAAGUAUGACAUGCACGAUGGCCUCCCAGCUUUUAAGAAAUAAACAUAGAGAUGUGUAAUUAUUGUACUCGAGCAAAAUCCUGUCCCUGAAUCAAUGUUGGGAUUACUAUCUCAAGAUUUAUUGUACGCCGUAUAGAGAGUGUAGUCAUUAUCAUGCCGUGUUAUUAGCGGGGAGGUCUAUCAUGGAUCCACGGCGUUGAACAAAUGACAAUCAAAUCGGUUCGAA